rnacentral:rRNA from 1 species
UACGAAGGGUGCAAGCGUUACUCGGAAUUACUGGGCGUAAAGCGUGCGUAGGUGGUUUGUUAAGUCUGAUGUGGAAGCCCUGGGCUCAACCUGGGAACGGCAUUGGAAACUGGCUUACUAGAGUGCGGUAGAGGGGUGUGGAAUUCCCGGUGUAGCAGUGAAAUGCGCAGAUAUCGGGAGGAACACCUAUGGCGAAGGCAGCUCGCUGGGACGUUACUGACGCUGAGGUGCGAAAGCGUGGGGAGCAAACAGG